AAAUAAGAAGCAAAAUUUGCAAUUAGUUUCGACCUAAUCUUAGAUAUUAAAUAUCCUUAUUUU
rnacentral:tRNA from 1 species